rnacentral:rRNA from 1 species
UACAGAGGGUGCGAGCGUUAAUCGGAAUUACUGGGCGUAAAGCGCGCGUAGGCGGCUUUUCAAGUCGAUUGUGAAAUCCCCGGGCUUAACCUGGGAACUGCAGUCGAGACUGUCUAGCUAGAGUAUGGGAGAGGGAAGUGGAAUUUCAGGUGUAGCGGUGAAAUGCGUAGAUAUGUGGAGGAACACCGAUGGCGAAGGCAGCCCCCUGGGUUAACACUGACGCUCAUGCACGAAAGCGUGGGGAGCAAACAGG